rnacentral:lncRNA from 10 species
AGGGAAGGCAUCGAGCUUGAGGAAGAGGCCCCAUUCAUCUCCGUACCCCAGGCCCUGGUACACAGCAGAGAUGGGUUUCACCAUGGUGAUCAGGAUGGUCUCGAACUCCUGACCUCAAGUGAUCCACCCACCUUGGCCUCCCAAAGUGCUGGGAUUACAGGCCUCCAGGCGGGCACGCAUCUUUGUUGUGUUCUCUGCUGACUAUAUCCUCAGCACCUAGAACUGUGUCUGUCACCUAAUAGAUGCUCAAUAAACCUGCCAGUAAUUUCAGCAAAUGAAACGUGGAACACGUCAAGGCCAGAGGAUGGAAAAGGCUCCAGUUUUGAUAAAAGGAGGCCUGCUUGGCUUGGAAUCCUCUCUCCUGCUGGUUGGGAGAUGCAAAGAUGUUUCCAGAGAGGGGCUGAUGAAUUGAGGGGAAAGAAAUGAGCCCAGUAUGAGUCCCCUUUCAGGGCUGAGCGUGUAUAAAACCAAACAACUUGGAACCGCUCCAAGAGAGGGGAUUAAAGCAACAUGUUAUUCUG